rnacentral:lncRNA from 10 species
UUCAAAGACAUAUUAAAGGAAAGGUGGAGGCCAGAAGAGCAGAAGGCUCUGAGAAAAGUGCAUCACAGUGGCCCAUUAUGAUGUCUGUCUAUGGUCACGUGAGCUGGCAUAUGAGAGUGCUCUGUGAGCCUCAGUGCCUUCAGUGGCAUCAUUGCACUGUGACUGUGCAGGUCCCAAACAGUAUGGACAUGAAUGUCCUCAAGCUGCAUGUUAGCAGGGCUUCUAAUUCCAUCUGCAAGUGAUAGUGUGUGGAGCUUAGUUGCACAGAGCGCAUGUUACUGGAGGAGAUAUGGGUCUGUGUCAUCCUGCAUGGGAAUGAUCCUAAAAACAAAGUGAUCAGUGACUGCUCAGGACUGUGGAAAGGUCACUUGGAGCAGUGGGAAAAGGUCUGGCAGAGGAAUAAGAAGAUACAGGUCUUAGAACAAGCCCUGGGACUUCAACCAAGUCAUUUAACAUCUGGGGCCUUCGUUUAUUUAUCCUCCCAGCAGAUAAAGCAAUACCUGCCCUGUCUUCCUAACCUUGGAGGGGUCAAAAAAGUGAUGGGUGUGAAAGCAUUUUGUAAACUGUAGUGCAAGCAUACGGCAGGGGAGUGAACCAUACUUUCACUAGCGACUUGAAUGAGGUGAUAAAGAAAAGGCUCAGAACUUCAGAAAAUGCAAGAGGGGCUUGACCCUGGAUUGGCAGAGGAAAGCAAUGGUGGGAUCGAUACCUUGGAGAGCCAAGGACCAAGGGGUUAAGGGUCCAUGAGGACAGGCCUGGAUCAUCAGGAAGCUGAGUGUGGUAAGACUGUGGCUUCUUCAGGGAUUGGGUGGAGUACAGUCCUGCCAAGACCACAGUAACUCAGGGCUUGGAGACAUCACAAAGGCAGGGGCUCCUAGAGCUGAGAUAAUCUGGAGAAGAGGAUACCCAUCUACUGCAUUCUGAGAUUGGGUUCGACCUGUAGGUCAUCUUGGAUAGACGUUUUCCAGCUCUUCUUUUUUUUUUUUUUUGGAACAGAGAGAACCUAAUUGACCCUUAAAGUUCCACAGAGCAGAGUUUGCAAAUCUCUGGUUCAGCCUUAUUAUUUAAAUGAGAGGAGAAUGAAAUCCCAGAAAAGAGAUGUGAUUAUGUGAAGGUCACACAGCAAGUUAGUUGCCAAGCUGCAACUGGAACUCAGAAUUUCUGGUUCCCAGUUCUAUAUCUUAGCCUCCCAAACUGGCUAUGUGGACAGGAAAGAACAGAGUAAUGGGGUGAGCUUUAAGGAUGCAAUUUCAUAGGAUUCCAAGAGUCUCAAGGUUAGAGAAGUCGCCUAGUCCACCUCCCCUCUCUGCUUCUCACAGAAGGGUCUGCUGAACACUCUGGUGACAGAGAACUCACCCAACAUGUUCCAUGGCAGAGGCUUUUCAUUAGAUCAAGGUGACAUCUGUUUUACUGGAGCUUCCAACCACGUGUCCCAAUACUGCCCUUAGUCACAGGCAUCCAGGUCCUCUCUCUCAGGACAGCACUUUGAAUAAAUGAGGACAGCUCCCAUCCCCCUUUCUCCCAGUUGACUUUCCAGAAACAUCUCAUAUUGUUGUUGGCUUUCCACCAUUUUUCCUCUUCACUUCCUGGGCCUACUACUACACUGUGUGUCCUCCACUUGGUCUCUUCCUGAAAGCAACACUGUGCACAAUGUUCCUGGGGGCAGACUUAUUAAACCAAGUGGACCACUUCCUUCAUCUUAGGUGUCACAGCUCCAUCAAUGCAUCCUCAAAUCACAAUGAUUUUUCUGCACUUCACCCUACAGGUUCCUAUUUAACGUUACAUUGGCUAGGACAUUACUCAUUUACACACAGGCUCUGCUGAGCCCCAUCUUUGCCAAGACUCUGACUUCUGUUGUUUCAUUUAAAGAUGUAAGAACAGGGCCUCACAGUUCUUCCUAAGGAAUUUUACUUUGUGGCUGGGUGCGGUGGCUCACACCUGUAAUUCCAGCACUUUGGGAGGCCAAGUCAGGUGGAUGACUUGAGGUCAGGAGUUCGAGACCAGCCUGGCCAUCAUGAUGAAACCCCACCUCUACUAAAAAUACAAAAAUUAGCCGGGUGUGGUGGCAAGCACCUAUAUCCCAGCUACUUGGCAGGUUGAGGCAGGAGAAUCGCUUGAGCCCGGGAGGCAGAGGUUGCAGUGAGCCGAGAUCAUUGCACUCCAGCCUGGGCAACAGAGUGAGACUCCAUCUCAAACAAACAAACAAACAAAAAACAAAAACAACA